AGCAGCCGCGGUAAUUCCAGCUCCAAUAGCGUAUAUUAAAGUUGUUGCAGUUAAAAAGCUCGUAGUUGAAUUUCGGGAUCAAUAUGUUGGUCGUGCCUCGGUACGUACUAGCUUAUUGGUUUCUCCUUUCUGAAGAACCAUGAUGUCAUUUAUUUGGUGUCGUGGGGAAUCAGGACUGUUACUUUGAAAAAAUUAGAGUGUUUAAAGCAGGCUCACGCUUGAAUACAUUAGCAUGGAAUAAUGAAAUAGGACGUUUGAUUCUAUUUUGUUGGUUUCUAGGAUCGACGUAAUGAUUAAUAGGGAUAGUUGGGGGCAUUAGUAUUCAAUUGUCAGAGGUGAAAUUCUUGGAUUUAUUGAAGACUAACUACUGCGAAAGCAUUUGCCAAGGAUGUUUUCAUUAAUCAAGAACGAAAGUUAGGGGAUCGAAGACGAUCAGAUACCGUCGUAGUCUUAACCAUAAACUAUGCCGACUAGGGAUCGGAUGAUGUUGAUUUUUUAAUGUACUCAUUCGGUCCG
rnacentral:misc_RNA from 1 species